rfam:Candidatus Nomurabacteria bacterium RIFCSPLOWO2_01_FTLL_41_21 rifcsplowo2_01_scaffold_1870, whole genome shotgun sequence.
UUUAGUUAGAGUUUGAUCCUAGCUCAGGAUGAACGCUGGCGGCGUGGAUAAGGCAUGCAAGUCGAACGGACUAGUCCCAUGAAUUCACAAAAAACUUCAAGUAGCAAUACAAGAGGGAUUGAGUGAUGGAUUGGGGUUUCUAGUUAGUGGCGAACGAGGUAGUAAUACAUAGGAACUUCCCCCAAAGUCUUGAAUAAUUCGUCGAAAGACGGACUAAUACAAGAUGGUAUCCGACCCGAAAGGCGUCGGAUUAAAGAAUUUCGCUUUGGGAAAGGCCUGUGCGGUAUCAGCUAGUUGGUAGGGUAAAAGCCUACCAAGGCGGACGCCUAGGGGAGGUGAGAGCCUGACCCCCACCGAUGGUACUGAGACACGGACCAUACACCUACGGGUGGCUGCAGUCGAGAAUCUUCCACAAUGGAC